AGAGUUUGAUCCUGGCUCAGGAUUAACGCUAGCGGCAGGCCUAAUACAUGCAAGUCGAGGGGCAGCAUUGUCUUCGGACAGAUGGCGACCGGCGAACGGGUGCGUAACACGUAUGCAACCUACCUUUUACUGGAGCAUAGCCCGAAGAAAUUCGGAUUAAUACUCCAUAAUACAGGGGGCCCACAUGGGUCUAUUUGUUAAAGCUCUUUUGCGGUAGAAGAUGGGCAUGCGGCCCAUUAGCUUGUUGGUAAGGUAACGGCUUACCAAGGCUACGAUGGGUAGGGGGUCUGAGAGGACGGCCCCCCACAUUGGUACUGAGAUACGGACCAGACUCCUACGGGAGGCAGCAGCUAAGAAUCUUCCGCAAUGGACGAAAGUCUGACGGAGCGACGCCGCGUGGGUGAUGAAGGCCGUGAGGUUGUAAAGCCCUUUUCUGCCUGAGGAAUAAGGUUUGGAGGAAAUGCCAAACUGAUGACGGUAGGGCAGGAAUAAGCCCCGGCUAAUUACGUGCCAGCAGCCGCGGUAACACGUAUGGGGCGAGCGUUGUUCGGAAUUAUUGGGCGUAAAGAGCGCGUAGGCGGAUAUAUAUGUCCGGUGUGAAAUAUUACAGCUUCACUGUAAUGCUGCGCUGGAAACGAUAUGUCUUGAGUACUUGAGGGGGAACUGGAAUUCCUGGUGUAAGGGUGAAAUCUGUAGAUAUCAGGAAGAACACCAGAGGCGAAGGCGAGUUCCUGGCAAGAGACUGACGCUGAUGCGCGAAAGCGUGGGUAGCAAACAGGAUUAGAUACCCUGGUAGUCCACGCUGUAAACGAUGUGUGCCAGCCUUGGGGAGAUGUAAUCUUUCUGGGGCGCAGCUAACGCGUUAAGCACACCGCCUGGGGAGUACGG
rnacentral:rRNA from 1 species